rnacentral:rRNA from 1 species
CGUGCCUAAUACAUGCAAGUUGAACGCAACAAGACACCAGAGCUUGCUCUACCGUCUUUGUUGAGUAGACGAACGGGUGAGUAACGCGUGGGUAACCUGCCUUAUAGCGGGGGAUAACUAUUGGAAACGAUAGCUAAUACCGCAUAACAAUAGAGAUUGCAUAAUCUUAUUGAAAGUGCCAACUGGUACACUAUGAGAUGGACCCGCGUUGUAUUAGCUAGUUGGUAGUGUAAUGGACUACCAAGGCGAUGAUACAUAGCCGACCUGAGAGGGUGAUCGGCCACAUUGGGACUGAGACACGGCCCAAACUCCUACGGGAGGCAGCAGUAGGGAAUCUUCGGCAAUGGACGAAAGUCUGACCGAGCAACGCCGCGUGAGUGAAGAAGGUUUUCGGAUCGUAAAACUCUGUUGUUAGAGAAGAAUGUUGAUUAGAGUGGAAAAUUAAUCAAGCGACGGUAUCUAACCAGAAAGGGACGGCUAACUACGUG